rnacentral:rRNA from 1 species
GACGAACGCUGGCGGCGUGCUUAACACAUGCAAGUCGAACGGAAAGGCCCUGCUUGCAGGGUACUCGAGUGGCUAACGGGUGAGUAACUCGUGGGUGAACUGCCCUACCCUUCGGGAUCAGCCUGGGAAACUGGGUCUACUACGGGGUAGGAGCCAUUUUUCGCGUGAUGGUUGGAAAGUUUUUGCGGUGUGGGGUGAGCUCGCGGCCUAUCAGCUUGUUGGUGGGGUAGUGGCCUACCAAGGCGGCGACGGGUCGCCGGCCGGGGAGGGUGGACGGCCACAUUGGGAGUGAGAGAGGGCCCAGACACAUACGGGAGGGAGGAGGGAGGAAUAAUGCUCAAGGAGCGCAAGACUGAUGCAGCGACGCCGGGUGGGUGAAGACGGCCGUCGGGUGGGAAACGCCUUUCGCUAGGGACGAAGCUUUUUGUGACGGUACCUAGAGAAGAAGCACCGGCUAACUACGUG